UCCGCCCCCAUCGCCUCGCCGACAGCCAAUGAGAGCACGGCCCGGAGGCAGAUGACGCGGAAAUACGUCACGCGGUGCGCUGUCCUGGGGGCGGGGCUCUGCGCGGGCUCCAUGGCGCCCUCUGCUGCCGUGAGGCUCCACGGGGAGCCGCUGGGAAAGCGAUGUGAGUCUCCCGCGAGCGGCGAGAGACGUCAGGUGUGCAGAAGGAAGUCGGACCACGUGCACCUGGUGACCUGGCAGCUUCCUGCUGAUGGCCUGGGAAAAGCAGCAGCAGAUGGCCCAAGUACCGGACCCCUGCCACCCAUGUGGGAGACCUGGAAGAAGCUCCUGGCUUUGGCCUGGCCCAGCCCCAGCUGUUACGACCAUCUGGGGAGUGAACCAGCGGAUGAAAGAUCUCUCUCUCUGUCUCCCCCUUUCUCUGUGUAACUCUUUCAAAUAAUAAUUAAACCUUAAAAAUAAAUAAAUAAACUCCCCAAAUUAA